rnacentral:rRNA from 1 species
UUAGUUACCAGCACGUUAUGGUGGGCACUCUAAGGAGACUGCCGGUGACAAACCGGAGGAAGGUGGGGAUGACGUCAAGUCAUCAUGGCCCUUACGGCCUGGGCUACACACGUGCUACAAUGGUCGGUACAAAGGGUUGCCAAGCCGCGAGGUGGAGCUAAUCCCAUAAAACCGAAUCGUAGUCCGGAUCGCAGUCUGCAACUCGACUGCGUGAAGUCGGAAUCGCUAGUAAUCGUGAAUCAGAAUGUCACGGUGAAUACGUUCCCGGGCCUU